UUUCUAAGGUCGGAUCUUUCGGCGAGAUCGCCAUCCUCGGAUGACGCUCGGACCAUUCGAUCCCCUUUGAACAAAGGGACCAGAUCAGGUCCCGACAUGCGGAACUUCGCCGUCUUCGUUUCUCUUUCUUUUCCGGGCGAAUGCCUGGGAUUGAUGGGACAUCUGGUCCUGUCUCCCGGCAUUCUGGGCCAACGCUUAGGUCUUUGGCCGCGCUCGAAGCAGCAAUGUUUCGGGCCUGACGCCUUGGGCCUGUAGCUCAGUUGGUUAGAGCGCGCGCUUGAUAAGCGUGAGGUCGGAGGUUCAAAUCCUCCCAGGCCCACCAGUCUUGUCGCGUCUGCGGAGGUCGAACGGGGCCAUAGCUCAGUUGGGAGAGCGGUAGCUUUGCAAGCUUCAGGUCGUCGGUUCGAUCCCGUCUGGCUCCACCAAUUCUUGCUUGUUCAAGAACUGCCCGGAAAUUCAGGUUUUGCUCAUUGUUGUCCUGCAAGGGACGACGAUCAGUAAUGCUGUUUGUCAUUGUGAAGAGGGAAUGGAUUCGAGAGCUGCUCAUCCUGCAGCAUGCGAGAUUGCGGUCACCAACUGCGCUCGUUAAAUCGGGUCCAUUCGGCAAGCAAAAAUGGUCUUUCUGAUCAUAUGUCUUGCAGCUUGGUUGCUGCGGACAUCGAUCAUGAGAACGAUCAAGUGCCUUAAGAGCAUUCNGUGGAUGCCUUGGCGCUGAGAGGCGAUGAAGGACGUGAUACGCUGCGAUAAGCCGUGGGGAGCUGCGAAUGAGCUUUGAUCCGCGGAUUCAG
rnacentral:misc_RNA from 1 species